CUAAUACCGGAUACGCUAUCAGGUUUAGAGACCUGAUAGGAAAGGUGGCUUAGGCUUUAGCAUGCUACCGCUUACAGAUGGGCCCGCGUCCUAUUAGCUAGUUGGUGGGGUAAUGGCCUACCAAGGCGACGAUGGGUAGCCGGCCUGAGAGGGUGGACGGCCACACUGGGACUGAGACACGGCCCAGACUCCUACGGGAGGCAGCAGUGGGGGAUAUUCCGCAAUGGGCGAAAGCCUGACGGAGCGACGCCGCGUGGGGGAAGAAGGCCUUCGGGUUGUAAACCCCUGUCUUCCGGGACGAAGUUCACUCAUUCGAAUAGGGUGAGUGGAUGACGGUACCGGAGGAGGAAGCCCCGGCUAACUACGUGCCAGCAGCCGCGGUAAAACGUAGGGGGCGAGCGUUGUCCGGAAUUACUGGGCGUAAAGAGCUCGUAGGCGGUCUGGUAAGUCA
rnacentral:rRNA from 1 species